AGCUGCUUUGGAUGUGCUGUGUGAAAAGAUGUCAGGGACAAGGGUGCCAGACCGAAGGAAUGCACACCAGUGCCUCUGCAGUAGUGAAGGAUGGGUAUUUAUUAAGCAAACAGUUGUGAAACUAUUACAAAAAAGAUCAUGGAGGCAGUGUAAAUGGAAUGGUCUUCAUUUGUAGCUGUAACAGUUAAGAAGAUCCUGCAGUGCUGAUCAUUUUCCCAGUCUCUAGGGAAGCAACUGCAAUGUGCCAACACACUGUGAGUAUCAAAGCUGGCAUGGAGUGCCUGCCCUCCUGCUGAGAGACCCUCAUAAAAAUAAGGUGAGUUCAGUAAAAUUACCCAGCAGGCCUUGGUGAAAAUGAGCAGAGGAGACCAACUGUUAAUAUGAUGAUGUCAAGCUCAUUGUUCUACAAAAAUGUAGUUGCUGGUACUGCAAUCAAGGAAAAACAGCAAGGAAAUCUGGGAGAAAAGCUGUUUUUCCAUUUACUUCAACCGUUCUGCCUAGACUAGAAAAAUAAAAGCAAACAAAAGCAGUUAGUUUAACCCUUGCAAAUGCCUGCAUGUAACUGAAAAACCUGAUGUUUCUUUCAGGGUUUUAAUCUUUGCACUUCGUUCUGGUGAUGCAGCCACUGUAGGCUUUGGACACUGCAAUCAAAUGUGAUUUCAUGCAGUUCUGGUUGUGAGUAGCCCGGAUUUCAUGGCAAAAAGAUGAGAUCUUAUGGACAGGAGCAAGAUACCUAAGCCACUCCAAAAGUAAUGCCUCCUACUUAUUUAUCUGGAAGCUGCAACAGAUACAAGGAGUGUAAUAAUGCUGGUUUAUAGAGUAAAUUCUCAACACAUUGCUUUGAGGCACAGUCAGUCGAUGUUGCUUUUUGCUCCAGAGGAGCUACUUUAAUUAGAAUGUUAUCCAUAAUCAGCAAGUCCUUUCAAAGCUUGGAUCAAUGGAGGUUCUCCAUUCCUAUCUUUUUGAGCCAAAGGAAGGAAUGACAAGAGAUAAUAAAAAAUCACAGUAGAUGUUCUUAUCGGCUGGUUCAAUCAGGUAUCUACUUAUCAUUCUACUUCAUUAGAAAAGAAAAACCACACUUUUUUAAUCUUCUGACCUUGAAAGGCAGAGAACCUGGCCUGUUGUGUGACAGGCUCAAAAGAUAACCUUCUUUUCCCUUCUUUUCCUUUUCUGAAUGAAAGGAUACAUGUUUCUGCAGUGGUAAAAUAAGUGUUGGGUUUUUUUUGUUGUUGUUUUUUGUGAGGGUUUGUUUGUUUGUUUUUAAGUUAAACAAUAUGGAAGAGCUUUGGUAAUAUCCAUUAGAGGAUGUAGGGCUUUUUUAAACUGACAUAGUAGUGAACCAAGAAUAUGCCCUCUUUUAUUCCCUAAGUACCAACAAAAUUGCAUGAAUCUACUGGUCCUUCUUUCAGUCUUCAGCGCUCUAAGAGAUUUAACCUGUUGUGUAACAAAAGGGUGCAUAAAAAAAAACACUUAAAAUAAGCUUUAUAAACUUAAUGUGCAGGAUGGGUAUACAUAAUAUAUCAAUAAGAAUGCUGUAGGUUUCAAGGAUAAAAUUACUGUGAAAUUUAGAAACUAUGACAGAUAUUUGCCCUGGAGGCAGUGGAGGGGUACUGCUGGUAGCAGGGAAGCUAUUGCACUCUGCAAAAAACUUGAAGUACGUAAAUCUAUUGUUUGGUUAUGUGGAAAGAAUAGUUUAUAGAAAAUUGGAAGGAAAAGAUUUCAAAUAAAUCCUUUUCUUUGUCCCUUGAGCUAUACCAAAAUUCCAGAUUACAUUUUGACCUUAUCUACUUGCGUUCAUUUUGUUUUACUUUUCUGUGUAAUUGAGGUGAUAACCUCAACUCUAAAUACCCCAUGCAUUUCCAUCUUUUCAAUUUCCUCUCUCUCUUUCCAUACCUUGGUUACAGAAGGGUUGUGUGGCAGUGUAAUUCUAAUUCUACUGUGCUCCAACUGACCUCAGAUCUGGGAUAGCUGUGCGACUUUAUAGUAUUUUCUUUGCUGCAAAUAAAUGCUGCUUGGAAAGCUCCCUUCAUGAUUCAGUAUUAUAGAAGUAACCAUCUUUAAUUCGCAGAGUAUUUUGCAAGGACUUAGUGAUCUAUUUGCCAGUUUGACUCUUGGGAAUCAUAAGUGAAGGGAACAAGAAAGUAGAACUGUACCUGGGGAGAGGUUGGAAGAAACACUGGAAAGAAAAAGACAAGGAAUGUUGCCAUUGUUGGUACAACAGGGGGAUGAAAAAAAAAAAAAAAAGAAAAAAAAAAAAAGAUGGUCUAAAUACUACAUUAGCUACUACAAGAUUUGCUUUAAAUAUUAUCUGGAGAAGCAAAUUAUUUUUUAAUAGCCACAGCUGACUCAAAAUGAUGUUCUGUGCCCAAAGUAAUUUCUUUUAAUGUUUAUAGCAUGUAAACCCUUAGAGUCUGUUGUAAUCGUUAAUUCUGUAUUUCUGUCUGUUAAAGGAUGAGUAGUUUGGGGAUCAAUUUUACAGCACCUAGCUAGAAAUUAAGUACAAAUUUCCAUUUGUGAAAAAUCUAUCUCAUUUGUUAAAAUAUUCUAUGAAAUCAUGAACCCUCUCAGUUAAAAAUACAUUAAAAAACAUUCCAUAGAUGGAACUUUUGCUUCCAGACUUUCUCUAAGAAAUAAACCAAAAAAUCAUGGAAGUAGAUGCUGAUAAUUCCCUAUGUUUACAUUCCCUACGUAUAAAUAUAUAUAAAUAUAUUUUGGGAAAUGAAAUUAAGCUAGAUGAACUUGAUUCCUCCUUCUUUCAAAAUACCUUCACAUAAAGGAAGGCUGAAAUAGACAUAUAAUAGCAGAAGAAAUUUUAAACUAUGAACACAAAUCAAAUUGCUUGGAAAAGGCUUUUCUCUUUUGUGUAUUACUUUUUAAAAUGACAAGCAGACCAGGAAAAUGAGUUGAUCUUUUCAGCUUCACACAAAUUUUAAGAUUCUUCUUUUCAUUCUAUAGUAAUUCAUUGAUGUUUCUCCAGUUAAUGUUUAGGACAUGAAGGCUUUAUUUGGUGUCGUGCUUGUUUAGUUGAGAAGAAGUAUCACUGAUCAUCCAAGAAUAGCUUUAAAUGGAAUCCAGCUUGCAGCUGGAAAAUGGGUCUUGAAACAAUUAAGUUAGAGUUAUAGUUGCAGAAUUUAAAGAAAGAGAAGCAAAGUGGGAAAAAACAAAUAAUGAUUAUUGGAUGGAAUUUUAUUGACUUCCAGCUAUAGUCUUCACAUUGUUUGAAAAUCUUUUAAGUUGUUCAGAAAACACCAUUCCUGUAACUUAGUGUGAAGGAACAAUGCACAUGUAUUAAUUCUGUCUCACAGAAUAAGACUUAGAAACUGACUUGUGAAAACCUAUAGCCUUUUCUGUGUUUUAAAUGCUAUUUCUUCCAGACUAAGUCAAUUUGUGUUUUUUAGCCUGAAAAGUUCUUUCCAUGGCUGAAUGAAAAAACAGUCGUGGAGAAAUUAGAUAAGUCAUUGUUCCACACCAGAGUAAUUUUCUUUCUCUCUUUGUCCUUGCUGGUGCUGAGU